rnacentral:rRNA from 1 species
GAUAACCUACCUAUAAGACUGGGAUAACUUCGGGAAACCGGAGCUAAUACCGGAUAAUAUUUUGAACCGCAUGGUUCAAAAGUGAAAGACGGUCUUGCUGUCACUUAUAGAUGGAUCCGCGCUGCAUUAGCUAGUUGGUAAGGUAACGGCUUACCAAGGCAACGAUGCAUAGCCGACCUGAGAGGGUGAUCGGCCACACUGGAACUGAGACACGGUCCAGACUCCUACGGGAGGCAGCAGUAGGGAAUCUUCCGCAAUGGGCGAAAGCCUGACGGAGCAACGCCGCGUGAGUGAUGAAGGUCUUCGGAUCGUAAAACUCUGUUAUUAGGGAAGAACAUAUGUGUAAGUAACUGUGCACAUCUUGACGGUACCUAAUCAGAAAGCCACGGCUAACUACGUGCCAGCAGCCGCGGUAAUACGUAGGUGGCAAGCGUUAUCCGGAAUUAUUGGGCGUAAAGCGCGCGUAGGCGGUUUUUUAAGUCUGAUGUGAAAGCCCACGGCUCAACCGUGGAGGGUCAUUGGAAACUGGAAAACUUGAGUGCAGAAGAGGAAAGUGGAAUUCCAUGUGUAGCGGUGAAAUGCGCAGAGAUAUGGAGGAACACCAGUGGCGAAGGCGACUUUCUGGUCUGUAACUGACGCUGAUGUGCGAAAGCGUGGGGAUCAAACAGGAUUAGAUACCCUGGUAGUCCACGCCGUAAACGAUGAGUGCUAAGUGUUAGGGGGUUUCCGCCCCUUAGUGCUGCAGCUAACGCAUUAAGCACUCCGCCUGGGGAGUACGACCGCAAGGUUGAAACUCAAAGGAAUUGACGGGGACCCGCACAAGCGGUGGAGCAUGUGGUUUAAUUCGAAGCAACGCGAAGAACCUUACCAAAUCUUGACAUCCUUUGACAACUCUAGAGAUAGAGCCUUCCCCUUCGGGGGACAAAGUGACAGGUGGUGCAUGGUUGUCGUCAGCUCGUGUCGUGAGAUGUUGGGUUAAGUCCCGCAACGAGCGCAACCCUUAAGCUUAGUUGCCAUCAUUAAGUUGGGCACUCUAAGUUGACUGCCGGUGACAAACCGGAGGAAGGUGGGGAUGACGUCAAAUCAUCAUGCCCCUUAUGAUUUGGGCUACACACGUGCUACAAUGGACAAUACAAAGGGCAGCGAAACCGCGAGGUCAAGCAAAUCCCAUAAAGUUGUUCUCAGUUCGGAUUGUAGUCUGCAACUCGACUACAUGAAGCUGGAAUCGCUAGUAAUCGUAGAUCAGCAUGCUACGGUGAAUACGUUCCCGGGUCUUGUACACACCGCCCGUCACACCACGAGAGUUUGUAACACCCGAAGCCGGUGGAGUAACCUUUUAGGAGCUAGCCGUCGAAGGUGGGACAAAUGAUUGGGGUGAAGUCGUAACAAGGUAGCCGUAUCGGAAGGUGCGGCUGGAUCACCUCCUUU